GACGAACGCUGGCGGCGUGCCUAAUACAUGCAAGUCGAGCGGGGAUUAUGCUUGAUCGCUUCGGUGAGACGGCAUAUAUCCUAGCGGCGGACGGGUGAGUAACGCGUGGGUAAUCUACCUCGUAGUUCGGGAUAACAGGCCGAAAGGCUUGCUAAUACCGGAUGAGUUCAUGCUUAUGCAUAUAGGCAUGAAGAAAGGGCUAGCCCGCUAUGAGAUGAGCCCGCGUCCCAUUAGCUUGUUGGUGGGGUAAUGGCCUACCAAGGCAACGAUGGGUAGCCGGCCUGAGAGGGUGUACGGCCACACUGGGACUGAGACACGGCCCAGACUCCUACGGGGGGCAGCAGUAGGGAAUUUUCGGCAAUGGGCGAAAGCCUGACCGAGCGACGCCGCGUGAGGGACGAAGGCCUUCGGGUUGUAAACCUCUGUCUGGGGGGAUGAGAACGGACGGUACCCCGGAGGAAGCCCGGCUAACUACGUG
rnacentral:rRNA from 1 species